ACGCAAUAUUCCCAUUUAAAUAACAACAUUGCUCAUGGAAGAAUGUUUUUGUAUCACUUUAUUCAGCCUUUAUUAUCAUUACAAUGCCUUAACACAGAAGACAAAAAUGUGAUGAGCCUAAAAAAUCCUUCGAAAUUAAAUUAUAACUGUGUCGUUACUGGAAAGCAAAAUAUCAAAACAAGGCAAAAAUUAGGUCUAAUUAGAUGUCAUUAUAAUCGAACAAAUUUAACAAUGGAUAUGAUCUGCAGAUGAAGUGGCGUUCAUAGCCAGAUACUAAUAUAAAAAGUAAGUAUUUAGAAUUGGUCACUACAUGUUACUUUGUUGUUAACUAUGUCUCUAUAAAAUGUAGGUAAAAAAAAAA